rnacentral:rRNA from 1 species
UCUGAACGCUGGCGGCGUGGCUAAGACAUGCAAGUCGUACGGUGUAGCAAUACACAGUGGCGGACGGGUGAGUAAAGUAUCGCUAAUGUACCCCGAUGUCUGGGAUAGCCAGUCGAAAGAUUGGGUAAUACCGGAUAAGACCACAGAACCGCAUGGUUCGGUGCUCAAAGGGUCACCNCAUUGGGCGCAGGCGAUAUCGUAUCAGCUAGUUGGUGAGGAACGGCUCACCAAGGCGACGACGCGUAGCCGGGCUGAGAGGUCGGCCGGCCACAUUGGGACUGAGACACUGCCCAGACUCCUACGGGGGGCGU